GGAUUUGAUCCUGGUCCAGGAUGAACGCUGGCGGCGUGGAUAAGGCAUGCAAGUCGUACGGAACUACUUUUGAAGAAGUUUGAGAUUAUAUCAAUGAUGACCGAUUGAGUAGUUUAGUGGCGAACGGGUUAGUAACACCCUGGUACGUACCUCAAAGUCAGGAAUAACUAGUCGAAAGAUUAGGUAAUACCUGAUAUUAUCGCGAGAUGAAAGUCGCAAGACGCUUUGAGAUCGACCUAGGUUUGAUCAGCUAGUUGGUGAGGUAAUGGCUCACCAAGGCUAUGACCAAUAGGGGGGCUGAGAGGCUGUUCCCCAACGAUAGCACUGAGACACGGGCUAUACACCUACGGGUGGCUGCAGUCGAGAAUAUUCGACAAUGGACGAAAGUCUGAUCGAGCGACGCCGCGUGCAGGAUGAAGGUCUUAGGAUUGUAAACUGCUUUUCUACGGGAAAAAGUUAUUGAUGGUACCGUGGGAAUAAGGAGCUGCAAACUUCGUGCCAGCAGCAGCGGUAAUACGAAGGCUCCAAGCGUUAUCCGGAUUUAUUGGGCGUAAAGCGUGCGCAGGUGGUUAUGUGCGUCUGUUGUUAAAUCUCCCCGCUUAACGGGAAGACUGCAGUGGAUACGGCAUAACUAGAGCAUGUAAGAGGUGACUAGAACUCACGGUGUAGGGGUGAAAUCCGUUGAUAUCGUGGGGAAUACCAAAGGCGAAGGCAGGUCACUGGUACAUUGCUGACACUCAGGCACGAAAGCGUGGGGAGCAAAAAGGAUUAGAUACCCUUGUAGUCCACGCCCUAAACGAUGCACAUUCGCUGUUUCGAGUAUCGACCCUCGGAGUGGCUAAGCUAACGCGUUAAAUGUGCCGCCUGGGAAGUACGAUCGCAAGAUUAAAACUCAAAGGAAUAGACGGGGACUCGCACAAGCGGUGGAGCAUGAGGUUCAAUUCGACACUAACCGAAAAACCUUACCAGGGCUUGAAAUUCACGGGAAGACGCUAGGAAACUAGCUUCGUCCGCAAGGACUCGUGAACAGGUGCUGCAUGGUUGUCGUCAGCUCGUGCUUUGAAGUGUUCCCUUAAGUGGGGUAACGAGCGCAACCCGCACUCUGUGUUUGAUCUGUCACAGAGAACCGCCCCCGUUUUUGUUCAGGAGCAAAAACGGAAUAUGACAAUGUUUCAAUAUUGAAAUGUUUAAAUAUUCCCGUUUUUACGCUCCCGCGUAAAAACGGGGGAGGAAGGAGCGGAUGACGUCAAAUCAGCAUGGCCCUCUGAUGCCCUGGGCUACACUCGUGCUACAAUGGCAGAAACAAUGGGUCGCCAACCCGCAAGGGGGAGCUAAUCCCAAAAUUCUGCCCCAGUUCAGACUGGAGGCUGCAAUUCGCCUCCACGAAGUCGGAAUCGCUAGUAAUCGCGGAUCAGCAUGCCGCGGUGAAUACGUUCUCGAGUCCUGUACUCACCGCCCGUCACUUCAAGGGAGCCGGUAAUACCCAAAGGGUCGCUUCGGCGGCACCAAGGUAGGAUCGGUGACAUGGAAGAAGUCGUAACAAGGCACGCGUAGCGGAAGCUGUGCGUG
rnacentral:rRNA from 1 species